AUGAGAUCACAUCGGGCUCAGAUUUCCCCGGGGAAACUCUCGUGUCACGCAGAGGAAAAUAUUAAAAAACACUCGGACCACGCACGCCUGCUCACGAUGCAACAAUAUUUCCUGUUUGCCCAGAUUGGCAACUCCAACCCCCUGCCGGUGCCCGUGGGAAACCCCGCCAGCGGAGUGGUGGUGGAGAGCGGGCCGGUCGUCUACGAUGAUGCAGCUGGAGAAGAGGAAGACGAGGACGAAGAGGAGGCGUGUGUCAGCGCCAUGGACCUGUUGGGCAGCAACGAUUAUGGCAGUGACGGAGGAGAUUACGACGAUUGAUACCGGUCUUCCCUGGGUUAUUAUGCCGAACUAUUACCGACAGUUUUAAGUGUAUCAAAUGUUUUUCUACCGGGGACACAAAGUGGCUGCCGAGAGGAACCCCCGCCACGUGUGAGAGCAAGGGAAACAAAAAUCGCACUCCUCGUCCCACUUGGAGUCUCAAACUGGGAGCACGCGCAGCUGGGAGGCUGAAGACGGUGAAACGAGGGACGCAGGUAUAUUAAUCAUUGUGUGUCACAGGACACCUGUCACGGUAACGCAUCAGGAUCAAACGUUUGUUGAGGUCAGAAGACAUUCAGGUUAUUAACAGCAUUUAAAAGACUUUAUUUAAAUGUAAGGAUCUACUUCACACUGAAAUCUAGUUAUUUAAAUGCUGCUGACGCUAACAAACAUCACUUCUAACUUCUAAUGUCGUGCAAAACACCAAAGCAGUGAUUACGGAGCAGCAUUAAUCAGGACGGUUGUUUUUAUUGAGGUUUAAUGUAGCAAAAAGAAACGUAUUCUCCUCUAACUCGCACUUUGCAUUCAUGACACUUGAACGCUUCCUGAUGACUAAUGCUUCUCAAAGCUAGUAUCCUAACAACGACGUGCACUUGAUGCAUCCAACAAUCAGGUAACGUGAGAUCUUUAACCCGCCUCACUGCCCAGAUGUUGUGUUUAUUAACGCCUCAGUGCUGAGCGGAGCGCCGUCCGCUCUGCUCCACGUGUUACAAUAAUGUUGCCUUUAAACAAUUUAAGCAGGUUUGCUGAGAAGUUAUUGAAUCCCAGAUCCUUUCAGAUGAAGUUAGCGUUGGGGAUUGUGAUGGUUUGGUUAUUUUUAAGGUUUUCCUCUUAUGAUUUAAUUUGAGUGUCCUUUUGAUUUGUGUUAAAUAUUGUUCACGGGCCACGGAGGCGUUUAAAGCCAGGAUGUAAAUACAUUCUCUGCAAUAUUAUAUUUUCCAAAUAAGUGAGGAGAACCCGAUCAGAGAAAAGAUCUAUUUUGUAUUUAAGAUUUUAUGAUUUUUGUGUUGGAAAAUGAAAUGUGAGGCCUUUUCACUGUGUCUCUGUUCACCUCCGCUGCCUGCUGCUACAAGUCGUGAUGUUACAUCUGCACCUGCUGCUACAGUAAAGAAAUCACUCAAUGGAAAAGAAAUGGCUUCUUUGUUUCUUUUUUGUGUCGCGUCAUUAUGUGUGAAACCUUCGUGUUGUUGACGUUUACUUCCUGUUUUGCUCCCCCAUCAAUGGAAUUGUCCCAAUUCAGUCGAUAUAGAAAUACAAGUACGUUUUUAAUAUUGAAAGA
rnacentral:lncRNA from 1 species